rnacentral:misc_RNA from 1 species
UUGUUCACGCUCUUGUUGCCUCAAUCUUUCGCUUUCCUCUCGUGCUCUUUGCUCAGCUCUUUGUAAGGAAUCUGAUCUUCUCAUGAAAGCUUCAGUUCCUGAGAGUUGCUUGUCUUCCUUCCUGAAUUUCUCUAACGUUCCCAAAAGCUGACCCAACAUUCUCUUGUUCCUGCUAACUAAGCUAGGAUCCUCAUUCUUAGGCAAUAUCCUUGGAACAUUCUCUGCAGCUGGAACUUCGAAAUCCAUCCUAGAUGCUUUUUUAUUUCCAUCCAAUCUAAAUGAACCACUCUGCCGCAAAUGAUUUUGUUUCACAUCGUUCUGGAAGGCUGUGUCACUUCCAGAAGUUUCUUCCCGAGAUGUAUCCUUCAUUGCAUCCUUUCCUUCAGCUUCUUCAUUUAUCUCCCCAUCCUCCUCCAUCUUAACAACAGCAGACGAUAGCCGCCGCUUCGCAGGAGGCUGGUCUUCAGCAUCGUUCCUUUCCCCAGGUCGAACAAAUCCCCGACGUGGUCCAUUAGCGGCGAAGUUUCUUGGGCCAGGUCCGG